rnacentral:rRNA from 1 species
UGCGUAGGGGGCAAGCGUUGUCCGGAAUCAUUGGGCGUAAAGAGCGUGUAGGCGGUCCGGUAAGUCGGCUGUGAAAGUCCAGGGCUCAACCCUGGGAUGCCGGUCGAUACUGCCGGACUAGAGUUCGGAAGAGGCGAGUGGAAUUCCCGGUGUAGCGGUGAAAUGCGCAGAUAUCGGGAGGAACACCUAUGGCGAAGGCAGCUCGCUGGGACGUGACUGACGCUGAGACGCGAAAGCGUGGGGAGCAAACAGG